UACGAGAGGCCCAAACGUUAUUCGGAUUUACUGGGCUUAAAGAGUUCGUAGCCGCGCGGAAAGUAGGGUGUGAAAGCCCUCGGCUUAACCGAGGAACUGCGCUCUAAACUACCGUGCUUGAGGAACCUAGAGGUGAGCAGAACUGAUGGUGGAGCGGUGAAAUGCGUUGAUAUCAUCAGGAAUACCGGAGGCGAAGGCGGCUCACUGGGGGUUUUCUGACGCUGAGGAACGAAAGCCAGGGGAGCAAACGGG
rnacentral:rRNA from 1 species